rnacentral:rRNA from 1 species
UACGUAGGGGGCAAGCGUUGUCCGGAUUUAUUGGGCGUAAAGAGCGUGUAGGCGGUUUGGUAGGUCCGUUGUGAAAACUCGAGGCUCAACCUCGAGACGCCGAUGGAAACCAUCAGACUAGAGUCCGGAAGAGGAGAGUGGAAUUCCUGGUGUAGCGGUGAAAUGCGCAGAUAUCAGGAGGAACACCGGUGGCGAAGGCGGGUCUCUGGGCCGAUACUGACGCUGGAGGAGCGAAAGCGUGGGGAGCGAACAGG